rnacentral:rRNA from 1 species
GACGAACACUAGCGGCGUGCCUAAUACAUGCAAGUCGAGCGAAUCAAUAGGAGCUUGCUCCUGUUGGUUAGCGGCGGACGGGUGAGUAACACGUGGGCAACCUGCCUGUAAGACUGGGAUAACAUCGGGAAACCGAUGCUAAUACCGGAUAAUUCAUUCCCUCUCAUGAGGGAAUGUUGAAAGUCGGUUUCGGCUGACACUUACAGAUGGGCCCGAGGCGCAUUAGCUAGUUGGUGAGGUAACGGCUAACCAAGGCGACGAUGCGUAGCCGACCUGAGAGGGUGAUCGGCCACACUGGGACUGAGACACGGCCCAGACUCCUACGGGAGGCAGCAGUAGGGAAUCUUCCACAAUGGACGAAAGUCUGAUGGAGCAACGCCGCGUGAGCGAUGAAGGCCUUCGGGUCGUAAAGCUCUGUUGUUAGGGAAGAACAUGUACCGGAGUAACUGCCGGUACCUUGACGGUACCUAACCAGAAAGCCACGGCUAACUACGUGCCAGCCGCCGCAGUAA